AAAAAUUGUGGACAUAAUUAUGACAUGGAGGGUAUCCAACAGUAUAUCAAACAAAGGAAGAAGAAAGCGAAGUGCCCAAUUGCAGGCUGUUCUAAUGAAAAACCAGUGGAAAUGUCGGACUUAGAAGAGAAUAAAGAAUUGAAAAGACAUAUUGACAGAGUAAACAGGAUUGCGAAAAAGGGAAAGAAAUAGUUACUUAGAACAAAUUAUUCACCACCACGUGUUCAGAAAAACAAUGUGUUACAAAUAGUUACAUGGACAUAAUGACUUCAUUGUGUAAUAUAGUAUAUGUACAUAAUGACUUCAUUGUGUAAUAUAGUAUAUGUACAUAAUGACUUCAUUGCAUAAUAUAGUAUAUGUACAUAAUGACUUCAUUGCGUAAUAUAGUAUAUGUACAUAAUGACUUCAUUGCGUAAUAUAGUAUAUGUACAUAAUGACUUCAUUGUGUAAUAUAGUAUAAUUAUGUACAUAAUGACUUCAUUGUGUAAUAUAGUAUAUGUACAUAAUGACUUCAUUGUGUAAUAUAGUAUACGUACAUAAUGACUUAAUUGUGUAAUAUAGUAAGUGUACAUAAUGACUUCAUUGUGUAAUAUAGUAAGUGUACAUAAUGACUUCAUUGUGUAAUAUAGUAAGUGUACAUAAUGACUUCAUUGUGUAAUAUAGUAAGUGUACAUAAUGACUUCAUUGUGUAAUAUAGUAUAUGUACAUGUAUAUGUGAUGUAAGAGAGUUGUACAAAACUUACAAGGACUGCAGCUUUACUUUUUGCCAGAACAGAAUAUUUACUUGAAACUUAAAAUUCAUAUGAAUGGUUACAAACCAGCUCAGAUGUCAGAAAUUCUACAAUUCCAUUGAACUAUGACACAAGUUAUGCCCCUUUUAGGCUUAGAAAAUGUUCUGAUAUAACCAUUGAUACUUAAAUGUUUCUGAAACUAGAACAGAUAUUCAUUUGAAACUAUUUAAUAUAUGAAGGGUCACAAGUAAGCUCAGUAUGCAAAGUUUUUCCACUCUUAAUUACAUUUUAACAUAAUUAUCCUAUUUUCUUAACUUCACUGCUUUUGUUUGUUUUAGUACAUUGGGAAAAUGAAAGGUUAUUUGUAACUUUUUCGAACAUGAUUUGUCAAUAUAUAUUUAUACUAUUACCUGUACAAUUAGUCUUUUUUUCACCAGAGCUAAUUUCCUUUUAUGUACAGUAAACUUCACUUAUAGCGAACACGGUUAUAGCGAACUUCCGGUUAUAGGGAACAAUUUAUUUUGGCCCGAAUUUUGGCCUUCUUUAUUUAAUAUAAAAAUAUAUGGUUAUAGCGAACACGGUUAUAAGGAAUUAUCGCUUAUAAGGAACUCAUUUCUUAGUCCCAAUUUAGUUAAUAGUACAGAAAAUUACACUUUUAUAACGAACUCCAAAAUAUUGGCUAUCCGUAAAUAGAUCCCGCAUUUUCAACGCACGGAUUAAAACUCGGGCGAAUGUACCGUUUAUCGUUGUAUGUACUUCAAUACAUCUAUUCAAAUGAAUUUGUAUAGUUUUCUAUUUUGGAUAUUUUUAGCAUGAGCUCUUUUCACCAAGAUAAAACGGUUAUUUAUUUAUUUUCUUCAAUAGUUUUGCUGGAGUAAAAUAAUUAUAAUAAUUUAUAAUCGGUUUUCAACAUAAUCAUGCAUGCUUGCAAGUAUGAUCCAUUGCAAACUGCAAAGUACGCUUGAUUUAAAUGAAAAGAAAUCUAUAUCUUACAUAAGUAAAAGUCACCCUUAAAUUAUAAUAGAAGAUAUUCAAUAUAAAUGGAAGGAAAAAUCGAAAAUCUUGUUUAUUCUCAAUCAUGGAAAGAAAACGAAAAUAGUUUAGAUACAAAAUAUUAUAUUUUAUGUGAAAUUGAGAUAAGGAGUAAAACUAAAACUGAAAUAGCAAUGAUUUUCGAAUUCCAAAAAGUACGCUCUCGGGUAGCGUGUCUAAAAUAUAAAUAAAUGACUAAUAUUUCUAUUACUUAAUCAAAAUCUCUUCAAAAAAAUGGCGGACAAUGGUAAACAAUCAGUUCGUUAUAUGUAAAUCUGUUCGCUAUAAAAACUACUGAUACAAGGAACUAAUUCGCUAUAUGCUUACAAGGAACUCCGGAUAUAAGGAACAGAUUUUGAAUGUCCCAGUGAGUCCGUUAUAAGCGGAGUUUACUGUAUAUUUAUUUGUGCCACUAAAGUUAUUCCCUUAAUCACCUUUCCAAGUCGUCGUCUGUCAAGGACAUUGGUGGGGGUAUGAAUAGCAUUCAGCGAUAGUUCUAGUUUUUUGCGCAUUCAGCUAUAAAGAUAACUGUUGUGAGGGUAUUUUAUCACCAGACUGUAGAUGGUAAAAACUCAUUUAUGGACAAACAAAAAUGAGUGUAAGUUGUGUUUUCAUUAUAGAUAACGUGACAAGUUUUACUGGUCAUGUGACAUUUCAACCUGGAAAUUAUUAUUAUCCAAAGCUUCUUUUACAUAUUGAGUACAGAUGAUUUGACAAGUGAAGACACACCUGAUGUAAAUAGAGGAUAUUGAAUGAGUUUAAGUUCAAUACUGAAAAUUGCACGCGUUGAAUAAAAUCAUAUUAUGUGAGCCUCUGGCAAGCAUAAUAUUAUUUCAUUCAAGGAUUUCAAUAAAUUCAGUAAUGGACCUACACGAAUUUAAUAUUCUAUUUAUCACAUACCAAAAAUAAAGACUGUUUCAAGUGAAAAAAGAGUCAUUUUUCAUUGACACGCCUAUAGUAUAACGCAAACAUCUAACGCGUCUUUACACUAUGUAUAACGCUAAUGACGUCACGUCAAAAAAUGUGCAUGGCCGUGCAAUACCAUUUUUACAUGUCACAAAAUCGACACAGGUGUGUGAUAAAAUUGUCUUUGUUUUUUUUGUUUAUCAAAUAACAUAAUUUCCAUUUUAUGAAUAAAAGUAGAUGCUAAAAGGUAAAUGCUAUUAUUUCUAUUUUUCGAGAACAUUUUAUAGUGAUCUGAGGACACGACUUACGUUUAUAUUUUAUUAGGAGAAAUUGUAUCUAUUUCUUAGGCACAAGUGCCUUGAUGAUCAGAAUAAAAAUAAGUACAUAAUAUUGUAACGUUUUUAAGGCACACAAACCCUGUCGGUGAAAAGCUAGCUCACCACCAAGAGUGGUUUAUGCCCUUAUAUAUUGGAUACUAUCCUUUGUGUGAAUUCACCAUCUUUUGUUUUUGCAUAUUGUAAUGCUCAUAUGACGUUCCAACGUCGUUACAAUAUCUUUGAUUAAUAUAAAAUACUUUAAUCUUAUUUGUCAACAAGAUAAUUAUUAAAAAGCAUGGUCAGUGUGAAGAUUAUCAUUAUUUUUGUAUUGUAAAGAUUAGAUUCAAGUUUGUUGUUUGUAAAAUUGCAUAUCAUCAUAAUUAUAAAUGUUAUCUGCAUCUGUGUUAGGCAGCUCCCACCUUGUGCAAUUGUUUGAUCUUACAGAGCUACAUAUAUACUGUAUACAAACAUGUAAAUCAUAUGAACUUUGAUAAUAUUGUCACUUUUGUGCAUUAAUAGGUAAACUUCUAUUAAAUUAUGAGUUUACCCAUCACUGCACAUGUGCAUACUGACAAAAAUCAUCUUUGUUGUAUACUGUAUUGUCCUAUUGUCUUUGAAUUUAUUAAAAAUUUGAAUUAGACCAAGGUCAUCUUGAUGAAAUAAAAUAUCAAUGAUGAUUUUCCCUGAUACCUGUAUUCAUUUCUCUACAGUCUAAUUAUAGCACUUAUUCUUCUAGAUAUGUAAUAAUUAUAACACAGAUAAAAGAAAAGAUUUUAAACCAGUGUAUUAUUAAUCUUGUGUUAAACCAUGUCAGAAUGUAGAACUUAGACAUUUUGCAUGUUGACCUGCAGGAAGUGCUGGGUUUUUUAACAAUUGUUUGAAUGUAAUUAAUGCUCAUUUUUUACAUCAUUUUUUACAUCAUUGUACAGACAUGUAUAUCGUUAGAGUAUCAUUAUACAAUAUGUACAGAGAAUAUUAUAUUAAAUACACAUCAACUGA